UGACGAAGUGACGGCAAUCUUAUCUGUUUGGGCUGCAACCGCCUUGCAACAGGGAACUGGAGGUUGAAUUGAAAUCGCUGGCUCGCAGAAGAGGCAGGUGGUACUACGCAGACCCACCUCCGCUUGGCAGUCUGAACGCUCCUUGGUCUUGGUGGAACUUCAUUUUAUUUGCCGAUCAGAUCUUAAAAUUAGUUAAAUAAAUACAUGUCUGUAAUACUUCUGUUGUAGUAUAUGCCCCGAGAUGGAAAACGCGCACACUAAAUCGGCAUCAGAAGUUUUGGAAAACUUCGGUGUGAACGAAAACACUGGACUGACACUUGAACAAGUAAAAAACAAUUUGGAAAAAUAUGGACCAAACGAGCUGCCUGCUGAGGAAGGCAAGUCCUUGUGGGAGCUGGUGGUGGAGCAGUUUGAAGACCUCCUGGUGAGGAUCCUCCUCCUGGCUGCCUGUGUCUCUUUUGUGCUGGCACUGUUUGAGGAAGGGGAGGAGACGACAACAGCUUUCGUGGAGCCCAUCGUCAUCCUACUGAUCCUCAUCGCCAACGCUGUGAUCGGAGUAUGGCAGGAGAGGAACGCGGAGAACGCCAUCGAGGCCCUGAAGGAGUACGAGCCCGAGAUGGGGAAGGUCUACCGCAUGAACAGGAAGGCCGUGCAGCGGAUCAAGGCGCGGGAAAUCGUCCCCGGCGACAUCGUGGAGGUGGCCGUUGGUGACAAGGUUCCUGCUGAUAUUAGGAUCACGUCCAUAAAAUCCACAACUCUACGGGUGGACCAGUCCAUUCUGACAGGGGAAUCUGUGUCCGUCAUCAAACACACAGACCCCGUUCCUGACCCCAGAGCUGUCAAUCAAGACAAGAAAAACAUGCUAUUUUCGGGCACCAACAUCGCCGCGGGCAAGGCCAUCGGCGUGGUGGUGAGCACCGGCGUCGCCACGGAGAUCGGAAAGAUCCGGAACCAGAUGGCGGGCACGGAGCAGGAGAAGACGCCGCUGCAGCAGAAGCUGGACGAGUUCGGGCAGCAGCUGUCCAAGGUGAUCUCGCUCAUCUGCGUGGCGGUGUGGGUCAUCAACAUCGGCCACUUCAACGACCCCGUCCACGGCGGCUCCUGGGUGCGCGGCGCCAUCUACUACUUCAAGAUCGCCGUGGCGCUGGCGGUGGCCGCCAUCCCCGAGGGCCUGCCCGCCGUCAUCACCACCUGCCUGGCGCUGGGCACGCGGCGCAUGGCCAAGAAGAACGCCAUCGUCCGCAGCCUGCCCUCCGUGGAGACGCUGGGCUGCACCUCCGUCAUCUGCUCCGACAAGACGGGGACGCUCACCACCAACCAGAUGUCCGUCUGCAGGAUGUUCGUGGUGGACAAGGCGGAUGAGUCCAACUGCUCAGUGCAUGAGUUCUCCAUCACUGGAUCCACCUAUGCCCCUGAGGGACAAGUUCUUAAAGGAGAUCGGCCUGUUCAGUCUGGGGAUUUCGAUGGCCUGAUAGAGCUGGCCACCAUCUGUGCCAUGUGCAACGACUCCUCCCUGGACUACAACGAGGCCAAGGGCGUGUACGAGAAGGUCGGGGAAGCCACGGAGACCGCGCUGACCACCCUGGUGGAGAAGAUGAACGUGUUCAAGACGGACGUCUCGGGGCUGAGCAAGGUGGAGCGGGCCGGCGCGUGCAACUCGGUCAUCAAGCAGCUGAUGAAGAAAGAGUUCACCCUCGAAUUCUCUCGGGACCGCAAGUCCAUGUCCGUGUACUGCACUCCCACCAAGCCAGGCUCCAUGAGCAAGAUGUUCGUCAAGGGUGCCCCGGAGAGCGUCAUCGAGCGCUGCCAGUACCUGCGGGUGGGCAUGGGCAAAGUCCCGCUCACCGCCCCUCUGAGGGAGCAGCUGAUGAGCCUGAUCAAGGACUGGGGGACGGGCCGGGACACCCUCCGCUGCCUGGCGCUCGCCACCCGCGACAACCCGCCCAGGAAGGAGGGCAUGGACCUGGAGAACGCCGCCAAGUUCUCCGAGUACGAGACGGCCCUGACAUUCGUGGGGUGCGUGGGCAUGCUGGACCCCCCGCGGAAGGAGGUGGUGGGCUCCAUCAAGCUGUGCGCGGAGGCCGGCAUCCGGGUCAUCAUGAUCACCGGCGACAACAAGGGCACGGCCGUGGCCAUCUGCCGCCGCAUCGGCAUCUUCGGCGAGGACGAGGACGUGGCGGGCAGGGCCUACACGGGCCGCGAGUUCGACGACCUGCCGCCCGAGGCCCAGCGCGAGGCGGUCAAGCAGGCCCGCUGCUUCGCCCGCGUGGAGCCCGCCCACAAGACCAAGAUCGUCAGCUACCUGCAGUCCUUCGACGAGAUCACGGCCAUGACGGGCGACGGGGUGAACGACGCCCCGGCUCUGAAGAAGGCGGAGAUCGGCAUCGCCAUGGGCUCGGGGACAGCGGUCGCCAAGUCGGCUUCAGAGAUGGUCCUGUCCGACGACAACUUCUCCACCAUCGUGGCGGCGGUGGAGGAGGGCAGAGCCAUCUACAACAACAUGAAGCAGUUCAUCCGCUACCUCAUCUCCUCCAACGUGGGCGAGGUGGUCUGCAUCUUCCUCACAGCCAUCCUGGGUCUCCCAGAGGCACUGAUCCCAGUACAGCUGCUUUGGGUCAACCUGGUGACCGAUGGACUCCCCGCCACCGCUCUGGGCUUCAACCCUCCUGACCUGGACAUCAUGGACAAGCCCCCACGCAACCCCAAGGAGCCCCUCAUCUCUGGCUGGCUGUUCUUCAGAUACUUAGCCAUCGGAGGUUAUGUUGGACUGGGGACCGUGGGGGCAGCUACAUGGUGGUAUCUCUGCGAUGAAGAAGGCCCACAGGUCUCCUUCACUCAGUUGAGGCACUUCAUGCAGUGCACUGAAGACAACCCCAUGUUCUCUGGGAUCGACUGUGAGGUCUUUGAGUCACGCUACCCCACCACCAUGGCUUUGUCCGUGCUGGUUACCAUAGAGAUGUUCAACGCACUGAACAGCUUGUCUGAGAACCAGUCCCUGCUCAGGAUGCCCCCGUGGGUCAACAUCUGGCUGCUGGGAGCCAUAGUCCUCUCCAUGUCGUUACACUUCCUCAUCCUCUAUGUGGAGCCCCUGCCGCUGAUUUUCCAAGUGACCCCUCUGCACUGGUCCCAGUGGAUCGUGGUCCUGAAGAUCUCCAUCCCGGUCAUCCUGCUGGACGAGGCCCUCAAGUACCUCUCCCGCCACCACUUAGAAGGUGAGGCGCGCGCUUCGGAUCCUGCUUUGGGUGUGGGCAAACAAGAGAACUUACCGGAAGCCCUCCCAGCACAGCGCGUGGCCCUGGGAGAACGCCAGUCGCCCUGUCAUUAUGAAGUGUCCCUGAAGCUAAACGACAUCUCAUUAAGCAGAAGCACAAAUAGACCGCUCAGACCGACUCCCUUAAAACAAAUUUGUCCUGGGCUGCGGGGCUCGAGGGCGAUUACACAAGGUUAGGCUGUGAUGUUUGUUCCCCCCACCGAUGGUUCCCAUACAGAGUGAUCUUUGUGUUUGUUCCUCACACAGCCUAACUCUCUCCUCUUGUCCUCUGUGAAAAGGACAAGAGGAGGAGAAAUACAGGAAGAGAAGGCAGCUGAAAUUUUAAGAGUCCCUCUUCCCCCCCCCCCCUUCUAAGAGACAACCCUUCCCCCCCCCCCACCUCAGCCCUAAGUACACCGAACAUCUUGCAUGUUGAACCACCACUAGAGAUGAAACAGGGCUUGCAUGUGUCGGAGAGCGUGUGAGUGUGUGCGCCCGCACACGCGCGUGUGAGCGCGUGUAUGUGUGUGUGUGCGCGCGGGUAGGGGCGAGCGUGAAACCAGCUGCGGAAUGUAGUGAUGUGAUUGUUGCUUUCGUUCUCUUUGAUUUUGAUUAGUCUCUGUACAUAUUAGUGCAAUAACUGGACCAGAGGGGUGAGGGGGGGAGUGUGAGGGCACAUUGGGAGGGUGUGCUGGGUUCAAGAAGGGGAUAUGGAGGUCCCGGAGUGGGCAACACCCGGGGACAGGCUGUGGUGGAGAGGCAUGCUGGGAAGGGAGCGUUUUUGAGCAGGCACCUUGAGAAGGCAGCUCGGAUGGAUGGAGGCCCCCACCCCGCUCCUUUCCAACACUUCGCCAGCUCCCCGUCGGAUCCCCAGUGGAGCCGUGGGCGAUGACCCGCCCCUGGCCCCGCCCCUGGCCCCGCCCUCGCUCGGGACGCAUCUCGACCGAUGUGACUGACAUUCCGUUCCUGCAGCGAAGGCCUGCGUGCGGUCUCCCCCGAUUGGCUGCACUGCGGACCCCCCGCCUGCACCACUGUUCAGACCACUCGUCCGCCAGCACUCCCUCCCUCCUUUCUUUCCGUCCCUCACCUCCAAUCCAUCUCUCUUUUCUGCCCUCUCUCUUUCCCUCUCGUCUGGGUCUUUCUCUUUCUUGUGGUCCCUCCUCUCCUCCCCCGUGCUAACUUUCUCUAUCUCUUUCACUUCCAGCUCUUUUUUUCCCCCCCUCCCUCUCAGGGGCUGGUCUGAGCGCGUGCGUCUCCUUGCUCACGCCUUGCUGCGCCGGACUUCACCCGUGCACGCCCCGCCCUCACCUCCGCAGUUCUCGCUCACAUCGUCUAGCUGAAGGAGGACAUGCUCCAUUUUGAAUGUGCAGAUAGCUUAUAGGCUGCUUGCUGCUUCUAGGAUGGCGUUAGAUUUCUAUACCAAAA